CGGAGCAGCACUGUUUGCUCACAGCGCUCAUUUGCCUUUUCAUUUAGCAAUUCGUCUGCUCUCUUUCCUCUGCUGCAGUUUCCUCACUCCCUCGCCUUGUAAAGCCAUCGUCUGCUACCUUUCCUGGGAACGGCCUCCCCGGAGAGCAGCGCGGACAGACGGCUAACGAGCGGACGGACGCCUAAUGCUGUGCCAGUCCCCCUUUUCUCCGGAGUUCUGCCUGGGGUCCCACAUGCUGCUGUCUGCUUCUCCUACGUGUCCCACUGCUGUGCUGCAGAGCACGGGCACAGAAGCCAGUGGGUAGAAAGCUCCUCUGCCUGGGCUGGCCCUUUUGAUGCUCGUUGGCACAUUUGCCCCAUUGCAGCUUUCCACCAGGCCCCCCAUGGCAUUUUUGUCAGAGCUGCAGGGAAACGCCAGCUUUGUCUGGGGCUGCUGGACACAGGGAGAUGGCACUGGAGAGACAGAAGGAGGUUCCCAAUGGGUUCAAUGACAUCUGAGCAACGCCCCUGUGUGCUGCUGGGUUGGGCUGUCCCCGGAGAGCACUUCACGGGAGCUCUGUUCUCAGUGAAAGGCACCCAGCAUGGAGGCCCAUCUCUGGACUCCCCCACUUGCUCCCAGAGUGCCGCCAGGUACUCGGAGGGACCUGGAUGAGGAAAACUGAACUGCCACAUGAAGAUGGGUCUGCCUGGGUGAGCAGUGCCUGCACUGAGGUGCCAAUGCAUUGCAUCUGGCUUUGCUUUGGGAGUGCUCUUGGAGAGGAGAGUUUGGGCCUGAGCUUGAGGCUGUGUUCUCUGAAAAACAAACACCCAGCAGCACGAGGAGCUCACCCCUUAACAUCGCAUGGCCGUGCCUUCGCCAUUCCUUCCUCUUUUCUUCAUCCUGCAUUCAAGGUGUGACUUCAAUACAUGUGACCAACUGGAAAUUGCAGUCGCCAUUUGGAAGGGCUGGUUCCUGCCCUCGGGAAUCAUGUGGUCAUCAGGACCUGGCACUGUGUCCAGCCAUGCACUUUGCUCUAGCAGCACUGUGCCCAUGGUGAUGCUGCUGUGCCCAGGGCAUGGCAAUUCCAAGCACCCACCGCAGCCGCCCCGGUCCCCUCUGUCCCUCCCACACCCCUCUUUGUCCCCAGCUCGGCGCCAGCUGUCAGCGCAGGCACAGCACAGCAAAGCCUGCAGCAAACACAGUACGGGUGCUCCCCAGCACAAGCCAUCGCCGGGGCGGAUUUGGCACCGAGUUAAGUCAUAAAG
ensembl:lncRNA